CCCUUAGAUGUUCGGGGCCGCACGCGCGCUACACUGAAGGAAUCAGCACGUCUUUCUCCUUGUCCGAAAGGACUGGGUAACCCGCUGAACCUCCUUCGUGCUAGGGAUUGGGGCUUGUAAUUCUUCCCCAUGAACGAGGAAUUCCCAGUAAGCGCGAGUCAUAAGCUCGCGUUGAUUACGUCCCUGCCCUUUGUACACACCGCCCGUCGCUACUACCGAUUGGAUGGUUUAGUGAGAUCCUCGGAUUGGUCCCGGAGCGGCCUCUGGUCGUGCCGGAGUGCCGAAAAGAAUGUCGAACUUGAUCAUCUAGAGGAAGUAAAAGUCGUAACA
rnacentral:rRNA from 1 species